rnacentral:rRNA from 1 species
UAGUCAUAUGCUUGUCUCAAAGAUUAAGCCAUGCAUGUCUAAGUAUAAACAUCUUUAUACAGUGAAACUGCGUACAGCUCAUUAUAUCAGUUAUUAUUUAUUUGAUGGUACCUUACUACAUGGAUACCCGUAGUAAUUCUAGAGCUAAUACAUGCGUAAAGUCCCGACUUUUUGGAAGGGAUGUAUUUAUUAGAUUAAAAACCAAUGCAGGCAACUGCUCCUUUGGUGAUUCAUAGUAACUUUAACGGAUCGCACGGCUUCACGUCGGCGACAGUUCAUUCAAAUUUCUGCCCUAUCAGCUUUCGACGGUACUGUAGUGGACUACCGUGGCAUUAACGGGUGACGGAGAAUUAGGGUUCGAUUCCGGAGAGGGAGCCUGAGAAACGGCUACCACAUCCAAGGAAGGCAGCAGGCGCGCAAAUUACCCAAUCCCGAUACGGGGAGGUAGUGACAAUAAAUAACAAUACAGGGCUUUAUAGUNUUGUAAUUGGAAUGAGUACAAUUUUAAAUCUCUUUAACGAGGAACAAUUG